rnacentral:rRNA from 1 species
UGGGGAAUUUUGCGCAAUGGGGGAAACCCUGACGCAGCAACGCCGCGUGGAGGAUGAAAUCCCUUGGGAUGUAAACUCCUUUCGAUAGGGAAGAUAAUGACGGUACCUAUAGAAGAAGCCCCGGCUAACUUCGUGCCAGCAGCCGCGGUAAUACGAGGGGGGCAAGCGUUGUUCGGAAUUAUUGGGCGUAAAGGGUGCGUAGGCGGUUUGACAAGUCUCAUGUGAAAUCUCUGGGCUCAACCCAGAGUCUGCAUGGGAAACUGUCGGGCUUGAGUAUGGGAGAGGUGAGUGGAAUUUCCGGUGUAGCGGUGAAAUGCGUAGAUAUCGGAAGGAACACCUGCGGCGAAAGCGGCUCACUGGACCAUAACUGACGCUGAGGCACGAAAGCUAGGGGAGCAAACAG